AUUGAACGCUGGCGGCAUGCCUUACACAUGCAAGUCGAACGGCAGCACGGGGCAACCUGGUGGUGAGUGGCGAACGGGUGAGUAAUGCAUCGGAACGUACCUUUCAGUGGGGGAUAACGUAGCGAAAGUUACGCUAAUACCGCAUAUUCUGUGAGCAGGAAAGCAGGGGAUCGCAAGACCUUGCGCCGAUUGAGCGGCCGAUGUAAGAUUAGCUAGUUGGUGGGGUAAAGGCUCACCAAGGCGACGAUCGGUAGCGGGUCUGAGAGGAUGAUCCGCCACACUGGAACUGAGACACGGUGCAGACUCCUACGGGAGGCAGCAGUGGGGAAUUUUGGACAAUGGGGGCAACCCUGAUCCAGCCAUGCCGCGUGAGUGAAGAAGGCCUUCGGGUUGUAAAGCUCUUUCGGCCGGGAAGAAAUCGCACGGGCUAAUACCCUGUGUGGAUGACGGUACCGGAAUAAGAAGCACCGGCUAACUACGUGCCAGCCGCCGCCGUAAAAC
rnacentral:rRNA from 1 species